UCCCACUUGUAUUUUAAUUUGUAAUAUUAGACCAAAAGCUGUACCUACUGUCUGUUUUGUAAAGCUAAAAUUUGGAGCUGGAGGUGCAGUUCAGCAGUAGAUCCCUCACCUGACAAAUGAUGGGUCCAUGAUUCAAAGGGUGAAAUUAAAAGUCAAUGGCUUUAUGAAACGUGUAGGUAGGUUUACUUGGCAGUGAAUGGAUAGAUUAAAAAAAAAAAAGGAAUGGGAUGAACCUUAGCAAAACUAUAGUGAGAAAUGUAAGCUCAGUCUUUAUAAAGUUAAAAGAAAAAGGUCUUGAGGAAUAUAUUACAGGUCAGAUCAAUCAAUAGAGCAGAAAAGGGAAGAUGAGGGCCAAACACAGAUAACGGCUGUCUAAAUCUUAUGGGGAGGGAAAAGGAGAGGGGGAGGGAGGGAGACUCAUGUGGUUUAGUUGUCUGUGCUUGCCACAGCUCUAGCUUUGUCUUGGGGGGUGAUUUCACAUUAUUAUAACUAAUUAAAAGUGGUCAUGGAUGAAGGAUUGUGGUAAAUCAAAUUAAUGCACCUGAGGUUAAAAAUUACUGGGUUCCCAAUUGGUGGUGGCUACUUAUUAUUAGCAUGCUAUGGACCACCUGGGUUAUGCUGUGAGCUUCCUUGGUGCUCUCUGUGAUUGCCUGUGAUUUUGGGUAAAAUACCUGAGUACCAAGGCUUUCCUCUUCCAGCCACAGUGGCCUUCUUUUACAGAGAGCCCAGAACAGUCAGGAUAUUCAGGUUGCCUUGCUUCUCAGGUUUGGGCCAACACGUGGGCAUAAGUGCCUGUGUGAGUCUAAACUCACUGAACAAAGACAGGGUUGUUUUGUCCUUGCUGUGCCAGAUGGAAGGCUUUCAUUAGUCACUUUGGGAGCAUUCAUAUUAGCUGGGAGAUUUUCUUUCCAAGGGUUGGAGCUGACGGUGUUUGCCUUGGGAUGGUCUUAGUCCUCUCUGCUUUCAUUGCUACUGCCAAGUAUCACAACCCUUGCCUACGGCUUUGCUCUACCCAUAGUUCCUUUUCCUUAACAUGGGGAAGCAUGGAGGAUAUUUGAGAUGGCCCAAUCACAUGUUCCCAGGUCAGUGGCAUCUGGGUACAAGUAAUUCUCAGGUCUAGCUCUUCUUCUCUGACUGUGGUUUAUAAAGGGACAGAGACAAGAGCCCCCGGUUUUGGAGCCAGGAAGACCUGAAUUCCAUUUCAGACUCAGCCAUGUAAUCUGAGGUAGCAGUAUUGUUUUUUCCUGUAUGUUGAACUGAGACCAGUGAAUUGUCACAUAGGUACAUGUGUUCAACUUACCUAGGUCAUGAUUAAACUCCAAGGAGGGGCUGGGGAUGUAGCUCUGUUGUAGAGUGCCUACCUAGUAUGCAUAAACCCCUGGCUUCAGUGCCCAGCCCUACCCAAACUAGGGCUGAGAGUAGGAGGACAAGAAAUCAAGCCCACCCUAUACUAUAUCACAAGUUUGUGGUCAGGAGGCUUCAAAACCAAAAUCAAACGGUAACAGCAAAAGGAUCUUAGGCCCUCAAUGGCCCUUCCUGUCAGCAACUCCCCACGCACACCUCAAGUACCCACAGAGGUCUGGUUUUUGUUGCUAUCAACUGUUCUGAACUUUUAGGGUUGAGACAUUAUUAAAACCCUUCUGAGCUUCAGUUUCUUUUGUGGAAAGUGAAAAUAUAGGGCCGUGUUACUGCAUUGAUUUGGGAAAAUCUAACAGGACAGGGUACAUGAAGUCCACAAUAAGAGAAUUAUCCAGCAGGUAUCACUAGCUUAGGCAGAGCUGUGUUAUCUCUGAUGGCAGUGUUGGCUCUAGAGAGUCGGGUUCCUGCUGAUGUUAUGGCAUUUGUGUCCUGUGCCCUCUAUGUUCCACUACCAUCUUGAACAUGCUUCAGGUUGUUCACACAGUGGCUUGCAGGACUUCUGCUAGAAACCAGUACUUGAUGCUUAAGUUGAUAGAAGAGUGAGCAGUAAAGAAAGCAUUCUGCAGCCUCCCUCUCCAAACCUGUGAUUCAGACUCGGUCUGUUUUCUCUAUUAGCAAAAUCGAUAGCUGUAUCGCAAAGCGCAGGCUUGGGUCGGACCUGUUUCUCUAAACCGAGAGUUGGUGUUAGUGUGCCCUGGGUGCCAUGUUUGUUGAAGUGUAAGGAUGCUAAAUUUUUUGUUUUAAAACUAAACAAAAACCACCCCAUAUGAUGGCCCCAAAUUUCUACAAUGGUAAAUAUUUCCUUGAGUCAAAGAGAAGAAAAAACAGGAUACCCAAGUUGAGGGGUUUUUGUUUUUUGGUUUUUUUUUGGGGGGGGGGGGUGACUUUGUGAUGCAUGUUCUACAUUAGGCCUUAAUCUGUGUGGUAUGUAUGCCCUUUCCUGACUUUAGGCCUUCAUGAAGAAGGCAGGACUACAGGAGAGAGGGCAUCCAAGGAACUUAUAAAGACAAAUUCCCCGAGUCAGAGAUGGAGUCUGAAGCUGGGAUCUGUCCUUAGAACCUUCUCCCUACACUCACAGAACACUGACAAUAUGUCAAGGACGAUGUGAAGAGAGCAGUGACUGUGAGCAGCUUUGAGCCAAAGGCAUGCAUUCAGCAGAUUGUUACAAUGCAGACUGUGUACUGCAUGUGGAAGACCAUAGCUAGUAAGCCAGGUUGGGGCCAGGGGUUGACGUGGUCCUGGAAGCUGAAAAAACUACAAGAAUAAAUCUCAGACAUCUCAUGUCAUAUGUGACUCAUGUCAGAGUGUCCCUGAGACCCCUCAUCUAAGGAGACAUUUCCCAGGGUAACUUCUGCCCACCCCUAAAUGAGAUUGUGCUUUUGCUAAACCGCUGGAUGUGUCUGCAGCUGGCAUGCCCUUGCUGUGUUUCUGAUCGCUUUGCAGCGCCCCGAUCCAUGCUGCGAUGUUUUAAAGACAGGGGCCUUCUUACUCUGGAAAAGGGUUUCACUUUCUUCCCAGGUAAAUAAGAGAGGUUAGGCAGUAGAUCUGCAUGGAAAAGAAGUGCUUUAUUAGCAAGAGUUUGUGAGAAAGAACACGGCUCUAGUAUGGAGCUGGGAGAGAAACAUGUUUGCUGAGAAGGAGAUGCCCACUCGGCAUCCCCUGUGUGGCCCGCCAUCGAGUAGGGAGCCAGCAUGCCAAAUUUCUCCAGUUACCAUGGGACCCAGACUUUGACAGGAAAUCAUGGUAGGGUGGGAAGGAAUCCAAAAUACACAUGGCUGGCAUACAGGAUGCAGUUAGGAAAGAGAAGAGAACAGUCCAUCUAUUUUCCUGCGCUGAGUUCUCUAGCUUCAAAUGGGGCUGUUCUCUAAGCCUCCCUCUGAAGUAGGUCCAUUUUAUGGUCCUGAUUUUCAAGCAUGAACUUUUUCCAUAUUAAGCAAUACUUCUGUGAUUAAAGUGGCCCCUUUAUAUGUUUGUGGAGGGUAUUUCUUAGCCGUGUGUGUGUGUGUGUGUGUGUGUGUAUUUGUGUGUUUUAAGUCUACAAACUAAAAAAGGAAAAAAAA
rnacentral:lncRNA from 1 species